AGAGUUUGAUCCUGGCUCAGAGCGAACGCUGGCGGCAGGCUUAACACAUGCAAGUCGCACGCGAAAGGGCUUCGGCCCCGGUAGCGUGGCGCACGGGUGAGUAGCACGUGGGUGACCUUCCCGGGAGUGGUGGAUACCCCGCCGAAAGGCGGGCUAAUACAGCAUACGAUUCCUGAUUCGGUUUAGGAAUGAAAGCAGGCCUCUGUAUACAAGCUUGCGCUCCCGGAUGGGCCCGCGGCCCAUCAGCUAGUUGGUAGGGUAACGGCCUACCAAGGCAACGACGGGUAGCUGGUCUGAGAGGAUGGCCAGCCACACAGGAACUGCGACACGGUCCAGACUCCUACGGGAGGCAGCAGUGGGGAAUCUUGCGCAAUGGGGGAAACCCUGACGCAGCGACGCCGCGUGGGCGACGAAGGCCUUCGGGUCGUAAAGCCCUGUGGCGCGGGACGAACAGCUUGGGUUCAAAUAGGACUCAGGCCUGACGGUACCGCGUCAGCAAGCACCGGCUAACUCUGUGCCAGCAGCCGCGGUAAGACAGAGGGUGCGAACGUUGCUCGGAAUCAUUGGGCGUAAAGCGCGUGUAGGCGGCAUCGCACGUCGGGUGUGAAAGCCCGGGGCUCAACCCCGGCAGUGCACCCGAAACGACGAUGCUAGAGUGCUGGAGAGGCGGGUGGAAUUCCCGGUGUAGAGGUGAAAUUCGUAGAUAUCGGGAGGAACACCGGUGGCGAAGGCGACCCGCUGGCCAGCGACUGACGCUGAGACGCGAAAGCGUGGGGAGCAAACAGGAUUAGAUACCCUAGUAGUCC
rnacentral:rRNA from 1 species